GAUGAAGAACGCAGCGAAAUGCGAUAAGUAAUGUGAAUUGCAGAAUUCAGUGAAUCAUCGAAUCUUUGAACGCACCUUGCGCUCCUUGGUAUUCCGAGGAGCAUGCCUGUUUGAGUGUCAUGAAAUUCUCAAACCCAUAAGUCUUUGCGGGCUUACGGGCUUUGGACUUGGAGGCUUGUCGGCGACCGUAAAGUCACAUCGACUCCUCUCAAAUGCAUUAGCUUGAUUCCUUGCGGAUCGGCUCUCGGUGUGAUAAUUGUCUACGCCGUGACCGUGAAGCGUUUUGGCAAGCUUCUAACCGUCUCUAACGAGACAGCUUACUUUGACCUCUGACCUCAAAUCAGGUAGGACUACCCGCUGAACUUAAGCAUAUCAAUAAGCGGAGGA
rnacentral:misc_RNA from 1 species